GAUGAACGCUGGCGGCGUGCCUAAUACAUGCAAGUCGAGCGAACAGACGAGGAGCUUGCUCCUCUGACGUUAGCGGCGGACGGGUGAGUAACACGUGGAUAACCUACCUAUAAGACUGGGAUAACUUCGGGAAACCGGAGCUAAUACCGGAUAAUAUAUUGAACCGCAUGGUUCAAUAGUGAAAGACGGUUUUGCUGUCACUUAUAGAUGGAUCCGCGCCGCAUUAGCUAGUUGGUAAGGUAACGGCUUACCAAGGCAACGAUGCGUAGCCGACCUGAGAGGGUGAUCGGCCACACUGGAACUGAGACACGGUCCAGACGCUUACGGGAGGCAGCAGUAGGGAAUCUUCCGCAAUGGGCGAAAGCCUGACGGAGCAACGCCGCGUGAGUGAUGAGGUCUUCGGAUCGUAAAACUCUGUUAUUAGGGAAGAACAAAUGUGUAAGUAACUAUGCACGUCUUGACGGUACCUAAUCAGAAAGCCACGGCUAACUACGUG
rnacentral:rRNA from 1 species